rnacentral:rRNA from 1 species
UACGAAGGGGGCUAGCGUUGCUCGGAAUUACUGGGCGUAAAGCGCACGUAGGCGGCUUCUUAAGUCGGUGGUGAAAUCCUGGAGCUCAACUCCAGAACUGCCUUCGAUACUGGGAAGCUCGAGUCCGGGAGAGGUGAGUGGAACUGCGAGCGUAGAGGUGAAAUUCGUAGAUAUUCGCAAGAACACCAGUGGCGAAGGCGGCUCACUGGCCCGGUACUGACGCUGAGGUGCGAAAGCGUGGGGAGCAAACAGG